GUAGGUGAACCUGCGGAAGGAUCAUUAACAAAAAGAAAUGAAGGGAAUUAUUAGAGAGAAAAAGGGGGUAAAAUCCUCUUUCGAUCAAAAAUAUCUCUUUUCGACACAUUGAGCACAUAUAUUAUAUACUAUAAUAAUUUUUUAAAAACAAAAUCUCAAAUAACUUUUAACAAUGGAUCUCUUGGCUCUU
rnacentral:misc_RNA from 1 species